ACAACAACAUUCGGACCGUCGGUCUACCGAGCAAUAUCACCCGCUCGGUGGAAGAUCUUCCCUUUGUCGUAUAUG
rnacentral:pre_miRNA from 1 species